rnacentral:rRNA from 1 species
UACAGAGGUCCCAAGCGUUGUUCGGAUUCACUGGGCGUAAAGGGUGCGUAGGCGGUCGGGUAAGUCUGAUGUGAAAUCUCACAGCUUAACUGUGAAACUGCAUUGGAUACUAUCCGGCUCGAGGAAUGGAGGGGAGACUGGAAUACUUGGUGUAGCAGUGAAAUGCGUAGAUAUCAAGUGGAACACCAGUGGCGAAGGCGGCUCACUGGCUCAUUACUGACGCUCAGGCGCGAUAGCGUGGGGAUCAAACAGG